rnacentral:rRNA from 1 species
UGGGGAAUGAUUGGACAAUGGGCGCGAAGCCAUGCAUCCAGCAAUGCCGCGUGAGUGAUGAAGGCCCUAGGGUUGUAAAGCUCUUUUACCCGGGAAGAUAAUGACUGUACCGGGAGAAUAAGCCCCGGCUAACUCCGUGCCAGCAGCCGCGGUAAUACGGAGGGGCUAGCGUUGUUGCGAAUUACUGGGCGUAAAGCGCACGUAGGCGGCUUUGUAAGUCAUGAGGUGAAAGCCUGGAGCUCAACUCCAGAACUGCCUUUGAGACUGCAUCGCUUGAAUCCAGGAGAGGUCAGUGGAAUUCCGAGUGUAGAGGUGAAAUUCGUAGAUAUUCAGGAAGAACACCAGUGGCGAAGGCGGCUGACUGGACUGGUAUUGACGCUGAGGUGCGAAAGCGUGGGG